AUAAUUAAUAUCUUACAUCUAUCUACAAUAUUUUUUUUUACAUGCUAAAAAAGCUUGAUAAUUUGCAAAUGUAAUGUGGAAUUUCUUAAUAUCUUUAAAAAUCUUUAAAAUGAAUGAAAGUAAAAAACUUUAUUAGUACUACUAAUUAUAAACUAAGUACUCAUCUACUUCUAAAUUUCAAUCUAUAUAAAUUUAUUUUUCAUGUAACAACUCUAACAAAGAAAAACUCUAGUAACAUUUAAUGAUAAAUCAUUCUUAAUUAGAAUCAACUAAAAUAGACAUUAAUUAUCAAAAAACAUUUUUGCAAAUUUUGUCCUAAAAUUUUGUCCUAAAAUUUAGAAGUUCAAAGUUCUUUAACUUCAUACAAUAAGUAAGAUUCUUAUAAUGCCUAU
rnacentral:lncRNA from 1 species